GCCGUCUCUUGGCAGAUGGGUAACAUGACUUGUGGGUAAAGAUGUGCAACCUCUGCAGAGUGUAAAACUGGUAUACUAGCCGUGCUCACGGUCAUGAGCGGCUCGGACACUCACAUGAUUAAAUUAUGGAACUUAAACUCAAUUUGUCAUAUGCAUUGCAUCGCAGGUGAGGUUGUUACUUUUGUUCUACUAAAUUGGGCUGGUAUUUACUUAUACUUAGUAAUUGCUAAUAAAAUUUUGACCAACUUUAAAAGCAAUGCUCAGCUCUAACCAUCAUCUUUGGUAAGCCUUACACUUCACGUGAGCUCCCACCUUUGGCGAGUUCAUGCACAUUAUUCCCCACAACUUGUUGAGCGAUGAACGUAUGUGAGCUCACUCUUGCUGUCUCACACCCCCCCCACAGGUCAAGAAUAGGUACCAUAGGAUGAGGCGCUUGGAGGAUGCUGUGACGAGUUCGUGAGAGGUCUAGGUCGUCGUCUCCCAGUCAACUUUGGGUUGCCGGACCGUUGUCUCCAUAUAAUGUAUUUAUUUAUUUAUUUUGUACAAAACUCCAAUUAUAUAGUAAAGAUGUGACAUUCGAUCAUGUGCCAUGAUUCAUCAUAUGUGUGAGACUUGGUCCUAGCACACCUGGUGAUUAUGUUCGCGCCCGGGUCUUGGUGCCCCGAAACCCGGGUGUGACAGAAGUGGUAUCAGAGGAAUGUUGACUGUAGGACGUAACCUAGAUAGAACUGGACAACCAUUGUCUACUUACCUUUGCUACUCUGAUUCUUUUCUAAACUUAUCUUAAUCUUUUCUCAUCCAUUUCUGCUUUACUCUGAUUAUUCUUACCUUUUUCUUAUAAAGACAAAUGUGGAUUUCACACUCUGAAAUCCUGUACCUAAAGUGACUUUUAGGAAUAGGAGACUUAAUCUUAGGAACAAAAAAACAAAACUAUUUUUUUAUCUAUACGCUUGAAUGUUUGUUCUUAUGAUAUUUGUCUGAUUUGGAUCUUUGAUUGAGUGUGAUGGGUUGUGGAGUAAUGUCCACAAUUACAUCUGCAUAUACAUAUAGGGAAAAAUGCUUAUAAAAAUAACUAGAUAAACUAGAUUAUCCCUCAUUAAAGGAUCUAGCCAAACAAUAUCCAUCUCAUCUUAAAAGAUUCUAUCCUACACUCGUAGAUCCAUCUUAUCUUAAGAAGAUACUCAUCUUAUCUUGAAAAGAUUUUAUGUCAUGCUAAUAGAUCUAACUGAUCUCAAAUGAUUCUAUCUUAUCUUUAUGGAUCCAUCUUAUCCUAACAAGCAUACUUAUCCACCCUAGUUUAACAACCAUGAUCUAAUGCAAAUUAAUUAGAUCUUAUCUAGUCAAACUAGUCAUACCAAUCUAAUCUAGAUCCCAUCUAAUCUAAUAUGAUCUAAUCUAAUGUGGUCUAUUUAAACAGAUUAGUGAUACUGGUAGAAGAGAUUAAACCCUACUAGCCAGGUAUUAACUUAACUUCGCACAUUAGACCAACUCAACCAUGGGCAUAAGAUCUAACCUAGCCAAUAGAGUCUUGAUGGAUUGCAUAAUCUAUCUAUCUCCACCUAACCUCAAACAAACUUUUGACCUACAUCAAUCUCACCCAUAUCUAUCUUAACCAUACCCUGGUAACUCCGAUGAUAAACGCUGACCCCAACUCAAUGAGACCAAGACCAGAAAAGAACAAGAUCAACCUCGUCAAGGAAGGAGAGAAGUCAAACUCGAUCUUCAGAUGCAUUACCACCCAACAAGGAGUCCUUUCUCACCAUAAACUGUCUUACCCCUAGCUAUUGUUUCCCUAACCUAUCCAUCUCUUAUAUCCUACAUAAUAGGUGGCUAGAAACCCAUGCUUUCCUAAAUACCUAUUUAUUUGUAUAAAAAAAACUUUUCAAUAUUGAACUAAAAGACAAUUACAAGCAAAACUUUCUACACCUCUUUCUUACAAAUCUCGAGGACGAGAUUUUUGUUAAGGGGGGUAGGAUUUGUAAAGCCCUAAAAUUGCGUAGGAUAAAAAAUGAUAAAAUAAUACAUACAUAUAUAAAAUUGUUUUGGGAACACAGAACCUUGGGAGACUAUCAAUUUAUUUAUCAAUAGGUUAUACCCUUCAUGAACAAUAUAAAUAGAAACCAUCUUUUAAUCAAGCUAAAAGUAAUUAAUGAUAAAGUUUGGACAUUACUUCCUCUAAAAUAAGUAGUAAAUAUGCACUUUUGAAUCGACCUUUAAUUUUACAACACCUUCAAAUAAUAUUUUUCUAAAAGAAAGAUAGCGUGUGUACUUCAUAUUUGAAACAAUUGUCUAAUUAAUAAAUAAAACAAUAAAUGUAAAUAUAUAUCUACAUAUAUUUGCAUUCAUGCGGGAGUUUGAUUGUGCAUUUUUAAGUAUGUGUCAAAUCCAAAACUAAUUUUGAAUUCUAUUCGAAUUUGGAAUUGUAAGUUAAGAAAAUGAUAAAAAUAUAGAUGAAGAGAGAACAAACCGGUUUGACCCAAUCUCACUCACGUGGCCUACAUUCUCUUCUCUCUCCCCAUAACCCGUCUUGUUUCUUUCCAUUUAUAAUUCUUGUACAAACUACUGGUAACAGCCGGGGGACGUAUGUUCCUUCCAUGUCAGACACCGACACGUGGGGCACCCUGCAUACGAGCACGAACGCUGAACCAUCCCAGAAAAAUCGUCGGUGCCUGUAACAACCGCGUAACAACCGGGCAUGAGCCGACAGAUGGCGUUACAGGUUUAUAAAACCCGAUUCCCAUGUGCCUUCCGCCAUAACCAGGCUUGGGAGCUAGCGCAACCUUGCAUGGAUGAUUACGCUGAAGCACAGCGACGAGUAGGAGAGAGAGAAUAGAGCCGCUGCGACCACGCCUCGCGUUCACCAUCUCCCAGCCUCUCGAUCGCUGGGGAAUUGGGCGAGAUCACCAAGUCGUGCAGAUCGUGCGUGUGGUCAGCAGAGCAAGGAAGUUGGCGGGGGAGACGAAUUGCUUGCCGGUGCUUGGCCGAAUCCUCACCGGGAAUCCUCGGGCGGCACUGCAGCGUCGACCGGCCGCAUCGACGUCUUUUCGAGUGGUGAGACCCUACUAAAUUACUCGCCGUAGCAUCCGCAUAGAUGAUCCCCAUUCAAUUUCCGAAUUUAGACCUAGAAAUCGGCAGGGUUGGUUCGCCACCAAUGGCGACGUCGUGCCUUAGCGUUCUGUCGCCGGUCGGGCACCGUGGUGAGAGAGAGAGGAUUGGGGGGGAGAAAAAUGAAGGGCUUGGGCUGUUGGAUCAUACACGGACGGCGCCGAUCUAACCACGCAUACCCCUUCGCUCAAUAGGAUUUGGGCCGUAGAUCUGAGAUCAAGCGAUCAGGAUUUGAUCAUAGUCAUUCUUAAUCUGGACUGACGAUCUUUAAUCCGGUGGUCCUCAUGGCUUACCGGUUCAUUUUUAAUGAAGUCUAAUCCUGGCCGUGGAAUUUAGAUCUGACGGCUGAAGUCAGCCCGUACCCCUUCGGCCGGGGAUAAUUGCAUGUGAGCCCUCAUAAAACUAUCAAAUAAACCCGUCGUCCACUCACGUGGAAAACUAAUUAAAUCUAGGUCCUGAGUUUCACAGUUUAGACCCUGUGUUUUCUAGAAAUUGUGUUCGCAGGCCAGAAUUAAUAGGGAUAUUCAUAAUUAAAUCAGAAAAUGAUUUUUUUUAUAAAAAUAAAUCUAGGAACUUGUUUAAUUCAUAGUUAAUUCAUUUUAGCUCCAGAUUGAGUUAUUCCAGUUGCAAUAAUUUUGUUUUAAUAUUAUCUUUCAUCUAGUGCUUCUGUUUAGCCAUAAAACUUGAAUUAAAAAUGUUCAUUUGAAUUAAUCUAUUCUAGGUGCUUAACAACUCCAGAAAUUCAUAACUUGUUAACCGUAACUCCGAAUUUAGUAAUUCUUGUUCUUAUGAUCUCGUUACGCAGCUUAGAAUAUUAUUAUGUAGUUUGAUCUUAUAUUUGGUGUGAUGUUAAUUUUGCAUAUACAUGUUUGUCUGUAUUGCUACGUUUAGCAAUGAGGACACAAGUUACCUGAAGAUCAUCCUGGUACCUGGAAUCUCAUGUCCCAGGCAAGUUGUGCCCUUGAUCACUUCUUUUUACCCAGUCAUGUUCUGAUUAAUCAUAAUGAUCUGCAUAGGUUAAUUUUGAUGGGACCCAAUAGGUUACCCUAGUUUGAUUAUCUUUAUACCUUGAUUACCACUGGACUUUUUGGGUAGUACCUGCUAUUGCUUUAUGUGGUUUUGGGUAUGAAGAUUACAUUAUUCAUGAUUACACUUUUGUUAUUAGUUGUUAUUUACUAUUCAUGAUAAGAUCAUUAUGUUAAUUGGAACAUGGAGAACCACCCGGGAAAACAGUGCUACCACAAGGGUUUAUGGACGCCCUUGGCUGAUUAACUAGGAAAGCUAGUGGAGGUCUACCUUACCCGAAAGGGGCAAGGGCAGUAGGGGAGUGGUCAGUGUAGGAAGGUCCUUAGUUGAUUUUGCUGCGAUGGCGGUCAGGCAAGAACCCUGCAUUGGAGCUUCCUAUAAACUGUAGCGGGAUUUCUGAAGCUAGUGGACCUUUGUAAAGGCCUCGUAGUGUUACCCUGCCUCGCCUCCUCGGUAGAGGUGUAUGGGAUUGGCCGUCUCUUGGCAGAUGGGUAACAUGACUUGUGGGUAAAGAUGCGCAACCUCUGCAGAGUGUAAAACUGGUAUACUAGCCGUGCUCACGGUCAUGAGCGGCUCGGACACUCACAUGAUUAAAUUAUGGAACUUAAACUCAAUUUGUCAUAUGCAUUGCAUCGCAGGUGAGGUUGUUACUUUUAUUCUACUAAAUUGGGCUGGUAUUUACUUAUACUUAGUAAUUGCUAAUAAAAUUUUGACCAACUUUAAAAGCAAUGCUUAGCUCUAACCAUCCUCUUUGGUAAGCCUUACACUUCACGUGAGCUCCCACCUUUGGCGAGUUCAUGCACAUUAUUCCCCACAACUUGUUGAGCGAUGAACGUAUGUGAGCUCACUCUUGCUGUCUCACACCCCCCCCACAGGUCAAGAACAGGUACCACAGGAUGAGGCGCUUGGAGGAUGCUGUGACAAGUUCGUGAGAGGUCUAGGUCGUCGUCUCCCAGUCAACUUUGGGUUGCUGGACCGUUGUCUCCAUAUAAUGUAUUUAUUUAUUUAUUUUGUACAAAACUCCGAUUAUAUAGUAAAGAUGUGACAUUCGAUCAUGUGCCAUGAUUCAUCAUAUGUGUGAGACUUGGUCCCAGCACACCUGGUGAUUAUGUUCGCGCACGAGUCUUGGUGCCCCGAAACCCGGGUGUAACAAUUACAUAGACGUGGUUGAAAUGUUUCGGUGGUAGGUCGUAGUAUGGUUGUGUUCAUGAUUUUGAGUUAGAGAUUGGUGGUUGACGAUUCGUAUAAAUUGGUUGAUGAUGUGCAUGUGUGAUUAUAUGUGUAAAAAAAUUGUAUUGGUAUGGAUGGAAGUUUGUAGUGAAAGAAAAUGAGUAAGGAACUGGGCUCGGAUGUUUUUAAGUUUUGG
rnacentral:lncRNA from 1 species